AGUGAACGCUGGCGGUAGGCCUAACACAUGCAAGUCGAACGGCAGCACAGUAAGAGCUUGCUCUUACGGGUGGCGAGUGGCGGACGGGUGAGGAAUACAUCGGAAUCUACUUUUUCGUGGGGGAUAACGUAGGGAAACUUACGCUAAUACCGCAUACGACCUACGGGUAAAAGCAGGGGAUCUUCGGACCUUGCGCGAUUGAAUGAGCCGAUGUCGGAUUAGCUAGUUGGCGGGGUAAAGGCCCACCAAGGCGACGAUCCGUAGCUGGUCUGAGAGGUUGAUCAGCCACACUGGAACUGAGACACGGUCCAGACUCCUACGGGAGGCAGCAGUGGGGAAUAUUGGACAAUGGGCGCAAGCCUGAUCCAGCCAUACCGCGUGGGUGGAGAAGGCCUUCGGGUUGUAAAGCCCUUUUGUUGGGAAAGAAAAGCAGCAGGUUAAUACCCCGCUGUUCUGACGGUACCCAAAGAAUAAGCACCGGCUAACUUCGUG
rnacentral:rRNA from 1 species